AGUGAACGCUGGCGGCAGGCCUAAUACAUGCAAGUCGAACGGCAGCACAGCAGAGCUUGCUCUGUGGGUGGCGAGUGGCGGACGGGUGAGGAAUACAUGGGAAUCUGCCCAGUCGUGGGGGAUAACGUAUGGAAACGUACGCUAAUACCGCAUGCGCCCUACGGGGGAAAGCCGGGGACCGCAAGGCCUGGCGCGAUUGGAUGAGCCCAUGUUCGAUUAGCUAGUUGGCGGGGUAAAGGCCCACCAAGGCGACGAUCGAUAGCUGGUCUGAGAGGAUGAUCAGCCACACUGGAACUGAGACACGGUCCAGACUCCUACGGGAGGCAGCAGUAGGGAAUAUUGGACAAUGGGGGCAACCCUGAUCCAGCCAUGCCGCGUGAGUGAAGAAGGCCCUCGGGUUGUAAAGCUCUUUUGUCCGGAAGAAAAGCAAUCGGUUAAUACCCGGUUGUUCUGACGGUACCGGAAGAAUAAGCACCGGCUAA
rnacentral:rRNA from 1 species